GAUGAACGCUAGCUACAGGCUUAACACAUGCAAGUCGAGGGGCAGCGGGAUUGAAGCUUGCUUCAAUUGCCGGCGACCGGCGCACGGGUGAGUAACGCGUAUCCAACCUUCCGUACACUCAGGGAUAGCCUUUCGAAAGAAAGAUUAAUACCUGAUGGUAUGAUGAGAUUGCAUGAUAGCAUCAUUAAAGAUUUAUCGGUGUACGAUGGGGAUGCGUUCCAUUAGGUAGUAGGCGGGGUAACGGCCCACCUAGCCAACGAUGGAUAGGGGUUCUGAGAGGAAGGUCCCCCACAUUGGAACUGAGACACGGUCCAAACUCCUACGGGAGGCAGCAGUGAGGAAUAUUGGUCGAAUGGACGAAGAGUCUGAA
rnacentral:rRNA from 1 species